rnacentral:lncRNA from 1 species
AGUGAAUAGGCUGGAUAAGGCUUUGGGCAGCCUGGUCUAGUGGGAGGAGUCCCUGCCCGUGGCAGAGCAGACCAUCAAGUUAGCCUAUGUAUAAACAAACAUGGAGAAAAAAACAGGAUUUGGAGGAAAGAGCUGUGUUUUGCAAGUAUGCAAGGAAUCUGCACACUGAAGUUGUGUCCUGCUGUGGAAACAACAAAAUAUGGAGCUGGAGGAGAAGAUCUGGAAGUAGUAUGUCCUACACCAAAAAGUAAAAGAAGGAAUCAGGUGCAGAUAUGCUAAUUGUGUUUGCA